UACAGAGGUCCCAAGCGUUGUUCGGAUUCACUGGGCGUAAAGGGUGCGUAGGUGGCGGGGUAAGUUUGAUGUGAAAUCUCCGAGCUUAACUCGGAAAUGGCAUUGAAUACUAUUCUGCUGGAGGUUUGGAGGGGGGACUGGAAUUCUCGGUGUAGCAGUGAAAUGCGUAGAUAUCGAGAGGAACACCAGUGGCGAAGGCGAGUCCCUGGACAACACCUGACACUGAGGCACGAAAGCUAGGGGAGCAAACAGG
rnacentral:rRNA from 1 species